UACGGAGGAUCCGAGCGUUAUCCGGAUUUAUUGGGUUUAAAGGGAGCGUAGAUGGAUGUUUAAGUCAGUUGUGAAAGUUUGCGGCUCAACCGUAAAAUUGCAGUUGAUACUGGAUGUCUUGAGUGCAGUUGAGGUAGGCGGAAUUCGUGGUGUAGCGGUGAAAUGCUUAGAUAUCACGAAGAACUCCGAUUGCGAAGGCAGCCUGCUAAGCUGCAACUGACAUUGAGGCUCGAAAGUGUGGGUAUCAAACAGG
rnacentral:rRNA from 1 species